GGCCCAGUAGCUCAGUGGUAGAGCAGGUGCCUCUUAAGCACUUGGUCGGGGGUUCGAAUCCCUCCUGGGUCA
rfam:Candidatus Roizmanbacteria bacterium RIFCSPLOWO2_02_FTLL_38_10 rifcsplowo2_02_scaffold_31413, whole genome shotgun sequence.